AUGAGAAGCACAGCUCAGGCACACAGUAAACAAACAACGGGUGGGAGCUUUGUGCUGUGUCUGCUGGGAAACAUGAAAAAAGUUGUUUUUUCCCUCAUUCGUCUUUCUGUGCUCUUACUCAGUUUCUCCAUCAUUUGCCUGGGAAUCCUUUGCAUCUACACAAGUUCCUCUGCAUGCAGAUGCAGGAAUAGCACGUUGGUUGCUUACUGCCUGUUAGCUCUGGGACUCCUGCUCCUUGUGACUGGCAUUUUCUGGAGCAUGGUCCAUGAAGCCAUGAAAUACGGGGGCCUCAGCAACAUCUUCACGAGAAACCCUGGCCUUACAGAGCUCCGUGUCAGCACCAUAGACAGGCCUGAUUUCUACCCGCCAUCCUAUGAAGACAGCACUGACCCUGAGAAGCAGACCUUCCCACUACCUGUGGCCUCUGCACCAAAAGAGCAAGAAGUCAUUAACAUUCCACCACCUCCUUACAGCGAGAGCAGCACAGAGCCUGUCAGUGAGACUAACGAGCCAGAGCAGCCCCCACCAUAUGAACUAUCUGGCCAGGUCUUGAGCCCCAUGCAGGAGCCAGAUGCUUGUGCACUCGCACAGGACAAUGCUUGCUGACAGCAGACAGGCAGACAAGGGACCUCAGACAGAGCAUGGGACAGCCGGGCAGGGACGUCAGUCAGUGCUGCCUGGGCCUGCAUCACCCAGGUCAGAGCCACCCGGGAAAAGCACUGUCUGUUUUCAUAUUUGAGGGAAGCUGGAGGGGGAAAGCAGAAAGGUGCUCAGCAUUUCAAAAAAGGAGAUUCACAGGUCUGCAGCGUUUGCUUAAGGAAAUGCCACCCAAUGUGAUCACAGUGUUUCUUCACAUGGAAAUAGUCACCUCUGUGUAACACUACCAAGGGACUUAGAGCAAACAAGCUGUCGGCUAUGUCAGGAGAGCGUAGGUAGGUGCAUGGAGAGAUACACCCUGCUGUUACUGUGCAGCCUGCGGGAGGCACUCACUGGAGGCUGGUGCUUACCCAGUGGGUAAGAGACAACCCCUGCCCCUCCCACUAGGUGCGAGCACUGCUGCUCUGACAGCCUGUCCAUUACAGUGUCGGUGUAACUGCAAAUCCUUCUGAAAGAAAUGGAACAGUAAGCAGCUCUGAGGAAACAGAAAUCAGUGGGAAAUCAUCUGCUAGCUUCAUUGCAACUACGGCUUUAAAGCUCAAUGCUAAAGCAAUUCUACCCAGAAGGCACCAGGGGCUUUGUUACUUAAUCACUGUUGUCUGAUAUCUUCAGUCAGAUGUUAAAAAACAGCAUUAUUUUUAAAAUGGCAAAAGCAGAGCAGAACAAGGAUGAAGAGACGAAGAGCUGAAUAUGCCAAAUGAAAUGUGGGACAAGAGUCACAAGCCUGCCAUGCCUGUAAUUUUCCAGUGGAUUUGGAUAUGACAAUAUCCUUGUACCUUGUUUCAGCAGCAAUAUGUACAAGGACAGUAAUUCAGUGCCAAGUGGGCUGCUUAUAUCAUCUGGAUGCAGUGAUGAAUGGAAACUACAAAGAUACUGCACAGAAUGGAGUGACAAUUGUUUUAAUGGCUCAUAAUACCACUUGAUAGAGUCUGAUCAGGUCAAGCAGUUUACAAACUUCACAAACAAAGACAACAAGAAUAAGCAGCAUAAAAUCAGAAUACAUUUAAAUAUGAGUCACAGCUCAUAUUCAAAAUGUUUUGAUAUACACCUACACCAGGCAAAAGUACAUGUCUGCUUUUGUGUUUGUCAUGGAACAUAAAGGCUCAAUUUGAGUUGCAGAACUUGAUAGCUAAAAGAUCUUAAUAUUGACAUAGUCUACCCAAAAGGAACACAGAGCAGUUAUUUUGGCUAGAGAAGCCAAACAUGCCCCGAUAUGGAACAAUCUGCUUAAGUCUUCUGCAUGCUGUUGGCAACAAGGGAAUAACAUGCCUUAAUUAUGCAAAUAACAAAAGCAAGAAAAUUUGACCUUUUUAAUGCGAUGUACAGCAAUUGUAAGUUUCAGACAGAAAAUAGAAAAAGCGAAACACUGCCUUUCUACACGACACCUUGCAUUUUUCAGGAAGUGGGACUCUCUGUAUCUGCUUUGCUUUUGCUUUGCAUCUCUGCCUACCUUCUCUAUAACACUACAGUCUCCAUUUAUGCACAGCAAGUGCAAGCCGAACCAGAGGUGGAUUAUCUUAUCCAGUCUGAGAAAAUCUUAAGUAGGAAAUGCGGUAUAUAUCAGUGCAUAUAAAAAAAAUGUCUAUAAAUAAAUGGUAAGGCUUUCAGCUGAAUGCCAGAAAUGUUUUAAGAGAUAUGUUGAAAGCUGCGAAAUUUUGCUGCUUUACCACCACAGCCAUACCUGUCUUUUGGUCACAGUGCCAUCCACAGGAUCUAUGUACUCAAAGCUGUCUGUUCUUUCCACACUGUAGAUACUGCUGCCCACAGCAAACUGCUGGUGGCUGAAUGACUUGUCAGUGAUCAAAGCUUCCAGGUCUCUCAUUAUGAAAUACGCUGUUCUGGGUUCCAAUGCUUCAUAAUCAAACCUUGCAGGCAUAUAAAAAAGUAGAAAUAAAAAGUAAGUCCACCACAGCUUAGAUGACAAUUCUUUUUUCUCAGUUCUCAAUAUACACACAAUUAGCAAUUCAUUGCUUACUUUGAAAAAUCGACAGUGGACUACUGCAGUACUGAUUGCAAAUUAAACCAGUGCAUGCACGCAGUCCUAUGCAGUCUGCCCAUCUGAUAUAUACACCACAGUUCUAUUCUGGCCAACUAAUUCUCGAGGCAAUAGAAACAAUUUGGAAAAUACAUUGUAUCUUAAGUAGCACAGAAAACAUCAUAAAAUCACUACAGAACUAUAGAACUACUAAGGUUGGAAAAGACCUCUAAGAUCAUCUGUCCAAACAUUCACCCACCACCAAUAUUUCCCCACUAAACCAUGUCCCUUAGUGCAACAUGUAAGCACUUCUUGAACACCUACAGGGACAGCGACAGUGACAUCUCCAUUGGCAGCCCAUUCCAAUGCCUGACCACUCUUCCAGAAUCGUUUUUCCUAAUAUCCAGCCUGAAGUUUCCCUGGAGCAACUUGAGGCCAAUCCUAUCACUAGUUACCCAGGAGAUGAGGCUGUCUCCCAUCUCACCACAACCUCCUUUCAGUAGUUAGUUGUAUAGAGCAGUAAGGUCCCCCCUGAGCCUCCUCUUCUGAAGACUAAACCCAGCACAGACAGCAUUCUGAAAUCAAGGACACAAUCAGCGCAGUGCUCUGAAGAAAAUAAAAUAGAAGAAACUUUGCUGCAAGUUUUGAGGAACAGCUGUGCUCCUCCAUGAUUAUACUUACUCAUCUGAAUUAAAUCUAUUCUGAAAGAAAGAGAGAGAGAGAGAGAGAGAGAGGCUAAGGUAAGAUCUGUGUUAUGUGAAUGCCAAUUAGAAUUCACCCUUCUGAGACAUUAAUAAAAAGAAGUAAAUGUAUGAAUCUUCAGAGGAGUUCUCUUGAGUUCAAAGUAAGCAUAAAAUCAGUUUUCACAAAAGCAUCUUCAUGAAGAAGCAUGGAGAAAGAAGUUCACAAGUACACUUGCUGAGAUUUGGACAUUUUUCAACACCUUGUAACCAACUGCACCCAGAGAUUCCACAUCUAACAUACUGGAAGUGACAUAUAUGCACAGCUCCUUCAGUGAAUACAGUCUGCUUACUCAACUGAUAAAAACUGCCCAUUACAGUGGCAAUCUGUAGCAGAUUUUCAUUACGUGGACAUAUGAAACACACAUCUACACGUAGCUGACUGCAGGUAGUCAAGCCUUGUUUGCAGCAGAAUUGACCCACUGACUGCAUAAGUUUCUGUACCUUUUCUUCAUUUUUCUCACCUGCAGUAGUAGUGUCGACCAAACUUUGCCCAGUGAUCCCUGACAAUUUCUUCUACGCUCUGCUUUCGAGCUGCUAGGAUUGAAAGCCAAACUAGAACAGCCCAUAGUCCGUCUUUCUCUCGAAGGUGAUCAGACCCUAAAGAGAGAUAUGUAAAGCACAUUAUUUGAUACCACUGUGUAUAAGAAAAUAAGCUGAGGAGGCUGGGCAAAUGUCUCACUUAACUUGUACAUCAUAUAACAGUAACCAGGAAGGUACGAGCUUCCACAACUAUGGUAGCUCCCAGAGUGAUAACCAGAAUUUACUUUUACAUACGACAAAGUCUAUACUCCUAACAUUAAAUAAAAAAUAUACAAAUACUUGGAUUGAAGUGGUAGCAGUAUCAUUAUAAUCAUUAUAAUCAUUAAUCAUUAUACAUACAGGUUAUUUCCACACUUCUGGUACUGUCUCCCCAAACUGGGCAAGACACCCAGACUCCUGGCCAGUGUUCUGUGUUAUGUGAGUCAAGUUCAAGAGCAUCUCCCUUCCAGAAUUUCCAG